rnacentral:lncRNA from 1 species
CAUGCUUGGCUAUGAGCCCUGUCCUCACGUGGAAGUCCGGAACUUACUUACACCCUCUCCCUUUCCCAGAGAUAUAGUCUUGUGAUUUCUUUGUUCAGAACUGUGUGCACAUCAUGACAACCCCGUAGACAGACCAGUUCAUAAGAAUGUAGGUUGAAAGCAUCUAGGCCAAAAGGAAGUCAUCGUGGGGUAAUUACAAGUGGUUUUUCCUUUUGUUAUUUUACAUUGUGAUACUGUCUUUUGGGAUAUUCUUUUACCUUAUCUAUGAUUAAAGAAAGAGGAGGGGUGUGCAUCUACUCUGAGUCACACACCAGGCCUCCUGAGAAGACCUUUGUGAGCGCAGGACUGACCCUCUGGGCGUGAUUUGUGUGCUAGCCCCUCUGCUCUGUUCAGGCCACAGCGGGCAUCCCCGGAGAGAGGAACUGGCCCAGCCCGUGUGUGAGGUGCCUGUCAGCAGCCUGGGCCCCAGGGCAUGGAGGUGGCCUCGCGGUGUGCAGGUCCUGUGGGACCUCCUGUGAACAUUUCCAACAGGGAAAAUGAGUUAUUCUUCAUGAC